rnacentral:rRNA from 1 species
CUAACCUCGGAUCAGUCGUGAAUACCCGCUGAACUUAAGCAUAUCACUAAGCGGAGGAAAAGAAA